rnacentral:rRNA from 1 species
CAGUCGCCGCGGUAAUACGUAGGUGGCAAGCGUUGUCCGGAAUUAUUGGGCGUAAAGGGCUCGCAGGCGGUUUCUUAAGUCUGAUGUGAAAGCCCCCGGCUCAACCGGGGAGGGUCAUUGGAAACUGGGAAACUUGAGUGCAGAAGAGGAGAGUGGAAUUCCACGUGUAGCGGUGAAAUGCGUAGAGAUGUGGAGGAACACCAGUGGCGAAGGCGACUCUCUGGUCUGUAACUGACGAUGAGGAGCGAAAGCGUGGGGAGCGAACAGGAUUAGAGACCCCCGUAGUCCCUGUCUCUUAUAC